CGGGAGUUCACUUUCCUCUGGUUUCUCCGCAGCCUUUUCCAGUCCCAGAUUCAGCACACACAGAGAAACGCACACUCUGCUUCUGCGCUGGAGCCUCGCAAGCCCUGAACCAGCCGGCAUGAGGAGGAAGUGAAGCUAUUCAAAUACGUCUCCCUUUCAACCAAAGAAUAACAUAUGCAAGAGAAACUUGUGAAAGUAACAAGUGA
rnacentral:lncRNA from 1 species